rnacentral:rRNA from 1 species
UUAGAGUUUGAUCAUGGCUCAGAACGUACGCUGGCGGCACGCCUAACACAUGCAAGUCGAACGAAGUAGCAAUACUUAGUGGCAGACGGGUGAGUAACAUGUAGGUAUCUGCCCUUUGGCCUGGAAUAACACGAGGAAACUUGUGCUAAUACCGGAUAAGUCUUUACGGAGAAAGCUUUAUGCACCAUUGGAUGAGCCUGCACUUGAUUAGUUUGUUGGUGGGGUAAUGGCCUACCAAGACUGUGAUCAAUAGCUGAUUUGAGAGGAUGAUCAGCCACAUUGGGACUGAGACACGGCCCAAACUCCUACGGGAGGCAGCAGUGGGGAAUCUUGCACAAUGGAGGAAACUCUGAUGCAGCGAUGCCGCGUGAGUGAAGAAGGCCUUUGGGUUGUAAAGCUCUUUCGUCGGGGAAGAAAAUGACUGUACCCGAAUAAGAAGGUCCGGCUAACUUCGUGCCAGCAGCCGCGGUAAUACGAAGGGACCUAGCGUAGUUCGGAAUUACUGGGCUUAAAGAGUUCGUAGGUGGUUGAAAAAGUUGGUGGUGAAAUCCCAGAGCUUAACUCUGGAACUGCCAUCAAAACUUUUCAGCUAGAGUAUGAUUGAGGAAAGCAGAAUUUCUAGUGUAGAGGUGAAAUUCGUAGAUAUUAGAAAGAAUACCAAUUGCGAAGGCAGCUUUCUGGAUCAUUACUGACACUGAGGAACGAAAGCAUGGGUAGCGAAGAGGAUUAGAUACCCUCGUAGUCCAUGCCGUAAACGAUGUGUGUUAGACGUUGGAAAUUUAUUUUCAGUGUCGCAGCGAAAGCGAUAAACACACCGCCUGGGGAGUACGACCGCAAGGUUAAAACUCAAAUGAAUUGACGGGGACCCGCACAAGUAGUGGAGCAUGUGGUUUAAUUCGAAGAUACGCGCAGAACCUUACCAACACUUGACAUGUUCGUCGCGACUUUAAGAGAUUAGAGUUUUCGGUUCGGCCGGACGAAACACAGGUGCUGCAUGGCUGUCGUCAGCUCGUGUCGUGAGAUGUUGGGUUAAGUCCCGCAACGAGCGCAACCCUCACUUUUAGUUGCCAUCAUUUAGUUGGGCACUCUGAAAGAACUGCCAGUGAUAAGCUGGAGGAAGGUGGGGAUGACGUCAAGUCCUCAUGGCCCUUACGUGUUGGGCUACACACGUGCUACAAUGGUAUCUACAACAGGAAGCAAGACGGCGACGUUAAGCAAAUCCUUAAAAGAUACCUCAGUUCGGAUUGCACUCUGCAACUCGAGUGCAUGAAGCUGGAAUUACUAGUAAUCGUGGAUCAGCGUGCCACGGUGAAUGCGUUCCGCGGGUCUUGUACACACCGCCCGU